rnacentral:rRNA from 1 species
UCAGGAUGAACGCUAGCUACAGGCUUAACACAUGCAAGUCGAGGGCAUCAGGUAUCUAGCUUGCUAGAUAUGCUGGCGACCGGCGCACGGGUGCGUAACACGUAUCGAACCUUCCCAUGGCUCCGGGAUAGCCCUCUGAAAGGAGGAUUAAUACCGGAUGGUCUCAUGUGGGGACAUCCCCAUGUGAGUAAAGAUUCAGUCGGCGAUGGAUGGCGAUGCGUCCGAUUAGCUUGACGGCGGGGUAACGGCCCACCGUGGCUACGAUCGGUAGGAGUUCUGAGAGGAAGGUCCCCCACACUGGAACUGAGACACGGUCCAGACUCCUACGGGAGGCAGCAGUGAGGAAUAUUGGUCAAUGGGCGUAGGCCUGAACCAAGCCAGGUAGCGUGAGGGAUGACGGCCCUACGGGUUGUAAACCUCUUUUGUUCGGGAAUAAAGUGAGGGACGUGUCCCUUUUUGUAUGUACCGUACGAAUAAGCAUCGGCUAAUUCCGUGCCAGCCGCCGC